rnacentral:lncRNA from 1 species
CUUUGAUGGACGGACGGGGUUUGAACUCUAUGUCAAACUCUCCAAGUUGAAUAGCCCACUUUAGUAACCUGCCUGAGAUUUCUGGCCUUUGAAGGAUGUGUUUCAGAGGUUGAUUAGUGAGUACCACAAUGGGAUGAGACUGAAAAUAUUGUCGAAGCUUUCGUGCUGCUACUAUUAGGGCGAGGGCAAGCUACCCGGCCAAAGUGUACCUUGUCUCUGCAUUAAGUAGGACUUUACUUACAUAGUAAAUGGGUUGCUGGGCUUUGUUUACCUCUUUCACCAAGACGUCGCUCACUGCGUUCUGUGACACGGCUAAGUACAAAAACAAAGUGUCCCUGGGCUCUGGUUUAGUGAGGAUAAGAGGGGAUGCCAAUGCCUGUUUGCGCUCCUGAAAAGCCUUCUCACUCUCCUCAUUCCAUUCAAAAGUUUGGCUGCCUCUAAGAGCUUUGAAGAAAGGAAAGCACCUGUCUGCUGCUCGGGACAUAAAUAUGUUUAGGGCUGCUGCCCUAUCUGUCAACUUUUGAACCUCUUUCUUUGUCUUAGGGGAUUCCAUUGUGGGCCAAGGCCAAUAUCUUAUCAGGGUUCGCUUCAAUCCCCUGAUGAGUGAUCAUAAAACCCAAAAAUUUUCCCGAAGCCACACCGAAUACACACUUCUCUGGGUUGAGCUUCAUCCGAUAUUUUCGUAGGGUGGUGAACACUUCCUCAAGGUCGGACAUAUGCUGCUCUACAUUCUUACUCUUUACCACCAUAUCAUCAACAUAGGCCUCAAUAUUCU